CAACACUUUGCAAGACAUUGCCAAUAUUAAAAAAAAAAAAAAUCAUGAACUGUGAAGCAAUAAUUGAACCAGUAAUUCAACCUUCACAAUUUUUUCAUCAUUAAAGUUAUGUCGGUGGUCUCUAAAAGGCUUCCUAGUGUAGUUUUGUAGCUCCUUAAAAAGAUUUUCCUAAUUUCAAAAAUAACAAGGUCUAAUUUGUUAAAAUUAUUGCAAUUAUCCAUUUUCAGAUAGAAGCAAUGAAUAGUUGAUUUUCUCUUGAACUUCUCACUGAAAAACAGUUACUUGGUACAUUUUUUAAUUUCAGUAACGUGGGGGCAGUUCAUUUCUCUACUGAAUGAAUAUGAUGAGGGAUUGUCUCAAGAAGAAAGAAUAAAACCAAACCGUAGCCUUGCCAUUCCCACUGGAAGCACUGAUGUCAACCUGGCAAUAUCCAGGAAUGAGUAACCUUUGCAGUUCAUGUUCUUUUAUUAUAAUGCUUGCAGAUGAGACUCGGUUAACAGACACCAUUUUCUCAGCGGCCACGAUAGAUAACUUGAGAGAUGUGUGGCACUUUCCCCCUCACACUCCAUAUGCAGUUCAUCUCCAAAUCCUAUGGAAUGCUUCUCCAAAUUAUUUAUUUAUUUAUUUAUUUAUUUAUUUAUUUAUUUAUUUAUUAUUUUUUAAUUAAUUUUUUUUAAAAAAAGAAUCAGUGUUUCAAGCUGGCUUUGACCUCCUGGUCACAAUUAGUCCUUCUGCCUCUGCCUCCUGAAUAACUAGGACUACACCACCCCAGCCAUUGAAAACUUGUUCAAACACAAAUCUGAUCCUGUUUCUUCCCAUUUCAAAACUCCAUUAUCGGAUUUCCUGUUGUGAAUUCCUUAACAAGUCAAGCAUAAAGCACUGUUUGAUCCACCCUUAUUUUCUCCUCUUAUUUCCCAGUCUCAUGUACAUCCACAACCUCUAACCUACCUUGUAUUAAAUCUUUUUCACUUCCUAGGAAGCACUGUGGAAGAAGCACCGUGUGUCUUUCUCCCUUUUCCUUCCUCUCCCCCUCCUCCUUCCAUAAUCUCCCCACUUCCUCUCUUCUCUGGGUUGCUUCUGUGCCUUGGUUAAUUUUCCCCAGUUCACUUGGUUUAGUUCCAACUCCUUAGGCUUGAAUAUCCUUUCUUUAAAACAAUUGUCCUCAAUCUUCCAGCCUGGGUUGCAUAUAUCUCUGUAUGCUCACAUAGCACUAUUUACUACUACUAUCAGGCACAAAUCACACUGUAUUGCAAUCUGUGUCAAUUUAUCUUUAUUUCAAACACUCUGAUCACCCCAUCUCAGGAUUCUAAGUUCCAUGAGAGCUGGAACUGAAUCUCUGAUUAAUCAUAUUUCCAGCUUCUAGCAUAAUGACUGACAUAUGUGAAUAGAUGAUACAAAGUUAAUAUAGCACAGGAGACACAGUGCAUCAUGGCAACUUCUCAUUAAGUCUCACUCUUCAGUAUAGCACUAUUAAAGUUUCAGAUCUUACAUAAAGGACAGUUCUGAGAUUCAUUGUGAGAUUUUAUGUUCUUGAGAGAACUUUCAUAAGUAUUAGGACACAGUUGAUUUGAAUGAUUACAUACUAUUAAAAAUUGCAUUGCAUUAUUAUAUUAUUUAAUGUUCUGUGUAGUAUUUCAUUGAGAAAUGAAGUACCAUUGUGAAUGAUGACGCACAGGAUGACUUUCUCCUCUGUUCUCUUCCUUCCCAUUCUCCUACUCAUACUAUAUUCUAGCAUCAAAACAGGCUGCCAGAGAUAUAAGAGUCAAGUGCCUUGCCAGGCCUCCAGGCUCAGCUUUUGUAUGCUUGACCAAUUUCAUCUCCUCCAUGAAGCCUUCCAAAAAUGAAUUAAUAUUAUCCAUCUUCCAGAGUCUGUAGUGCUUUGUUUUUUA
rnacentral:lncRNA from 1 species